AAAGAGAUGUUUUGUGAAUACAAGUUUGGAGGAAAAGCUCUGCAAUUUAGAGGAUGAGAAUCAUGUACUGCGUCAAAAAGCAUUGAGUUCUCCGAAGGGCAGCUGUCCUGGUUUUGUCAAGCCAUUUUUGGAGAAGUACUCUGCUGCACUUGCUCUUCCCUAUGCUGAUCAGAAGCCUGUAUUUGAAUCCCCUACACCCACAAAACUUAUAACACCCCUUUCACAAGGUUUAUCUGAUUCUCGUAGGACAAAGUUAACCACUGAAAGACAACAGG